rnacentral:rRNA from 1 species
GAUGAACGCUGGCGGCGUGCCUAAUACAUGCAAGUCGAGCGAACAGACGAGGAGCUUGCUCCUCUGACGUUAGCGGCGGACGGGUGAGUAACACGUGGAUAACCUACCUAUAAGACUGGGAUAACUUCGGGAAACCGGAGCUAAUACCGGAUAAUAUAUUGAACCGCAUGGUUCAAUAGUGAAAGACGGUUUUGCUGUCACUUAUAGAUGGAUCCGCGCCGCAUUAGCUAGUUGGUAAGGUAACGGCUUACCAAGGCAACGAUGCGUAGCCGACCUGAGAGGGGGGGGGGCAAGAAUGGGAGUGAGACCCGAUAUAGGCUCGUACGGGAGGCAGCAAGAGGGAAUGUGUAACAAUGGGCGCACGAUCGAAGAAGUAAGGUAGAAGGAAGGAUCAAGUUCUGCGGAAAGUAAAAAUGUGUUAAUAGGAAAGAACAAAGGAGCAAGUGCUGACGCAAGUCUUGAAGGUACGUAAUCAGAAAGCAAAGACUACGUACGUC